rnacentral:rRNA from 1 species
AGAGUUUGAUCAUGGCUCAGAUUGAACGCUGGCGGCAGGCCUAACACAUGCAAGUCGAACGGUAACAGGAAGCAGCUUGCUGCUUCGCUGACGAGUGGCGGACGGGUGAGUAAUGUCUGGGAAGCUGCCUGAUGGAGGGGGAUAACUACUGGAAACGGUAGCUAAUACCGCAUAAUGUCGCAAGACCAAAGAGGGGGACCUUCGGGCCUCUUGCCAUCGGAUGUGCCCAGAUGGGAUUAGCUUGUUGGUGGGGUAACGGCUCACCAAGGCGACGAUCCCUAGCUGGUCUGAGAGGAUGACCAGCCACACUGGAACUGAGACACGGUCCAGACUCCUACGGGAGGCAGCAGUGGGGAAUAUUGCACAAUGGGCGCAAGCCUGAUGCAGCCAUGCCGCGUGUAUGAAGAAGGCCUUCGGGUUGUAAAGUACUUUCAGCGGGGAGGAAGGGAGUAAAGUUAAUACCUUUGCUCAUUGACGUUACCCGCAGAAGAAGCACCGGCUAACUCCGUGCCAGCAGCCGCGGUAAUACGGAGGGUGCAAGCGUUAAUCGGAAUUACUGGGCGUAAAGCGCACGCAGGCGGUUUGUUAAGUCAGAUGUGAAAUCCCCGGGCUCAACCUGGGAACUGCAUCUGAUACUGGCAAGCUUGAGUCUCGUAGAGGGGGGUAGAAUUCCAGGUGUAGCGGUGCAAUGCUCAGAGAUCUGGAGGAAUACCGGUGGCGAAGGCGGCCCCCUGGACGAAGACUGACGCUCAGGUGCGAAAGCGUGGGGAGCAAACAGGAUUAGAUACCCUGGUAGUCCACGCCGUAAACGAUGUCGACUUGGAGGUUGUGCCCUUGAGGCGUGGCUUCCGGAGCUAACGCGUUAAGUCGACCGCCUGGGGAGUACGGCCGCAAGGUUAAAACUCAAAUGAAUUGACGGGGGCCCGCACAAGCGGUGGAGCAUGUGGUUUAAUUCGAUGCAACGCGAAGAACCUUACCUGGUCUUGACAUCCACGGAAGUUUUCAGAGAUGAGAAUGUGCCUUCGGGAACCGUGAGACAGGUGCUGCAUGGCUGUCGUCAGCUCGUGUUGUGAAAUGUUGGGUUAAGUCCCGCAACGAGCGCAACCCUUAUCCUUUGUUGCCAGCGGUCCGGCCGGGAACUCAAAGGAGACUGCCAGUGAUAAACUGGAGGAAGGUGGGGAUGACGUCAAGUCAUCAUGGCCCUUACGACCAGGGCUACACACGUGCUACAAUGGCGCAUACAAAGAGAAGCGACCUCGCGAGAGCAAGCGGACCUCAUAAAGUGCGUCGUAGUCCGGAUUGGAGUCUGCAACUCGACUCCAUGAAGUCGGAAUCGCUAGUAAUCGUGGAUCAGAAUGCCACGGUGAAUACGUUCCCGGGCCUUGUACACACCGCCCGUCACACCAUGGGAGUGGGUUGCAAAAGAAGUAGGUAGCUUAACCUUCGGGAGGGCGCUUACCACUUUGUGAUUCAUGACUGGGGUGAAGUCGUAACAAGGUAACCGUAGGGGAACCUGCGGGUGGAUCACCUCCUUA